rnacentral:misc_RNA from 1 species
UUUCCGUAGGUGAACCUGCGGAAGGAUCAUUAAAAAAUUGGACUCCAUUGGUGAGUUCAUUAAUAAUCCCUACCCUUUGUGAAUUUGUUUGUUUGAAUAAUUUUUUUUCCAAAAAAAAUUAUUGAAUGUCUUUCCUUGUUUUGGUGGAGCUUGUAAAGUGAAACCAGGCAGGGGAAUGGCAAACAAUAAUUAUUUUUGAAAAAGACCUUUUUUUAAAAUUAAACUUUUUGUAUUCAUUUGUCUAAAAUUAAUUUUUAUAAUAUAAAAACAACUUUUGACAAUGGAUCUCUUGGUUCUCGCAACGAUGAAGAACGCAGCAAAAUGCGAUAAGUAGUGUGAAUUGCGGAAUACGUGAAUCAUCGAAUCUUCGAACGCAUAUUGCACUUUUUUAGUUUACUAAAAAAGUAUGUCUGUUUGAGUAUCAGUAAAAUAUUCUCAUAAAAAACAUUGUUUUUUUUAUGGUUAUGAGUGUUUUACAACGAUAACAAGUUGUUUCACUUUAAAUUCUUUGUUAUCAAAAAAUCAUUAAAAGCUAAUUUUAAAGAUUUUUUAAAAUUGGAUAAAAUUUUCCCGUAAAAAGGAAUAACCUAAACAAUUUUAAAAAAUUAAAAUUGGUUUGAUUUUUUUUGAAACCUAAAGGAAAAAAAAACGAAAUUAACUUGAUCUCAAAUCAGAUAAGAGUACCCGCUGAACUUAAGCAUAUCAAUAAGCGGAGGAAAAGAAACUAACUAGGAUUCCCUCAGUAACGGCGAGUGAAGCGGGAAGAGCUCAAAUUUGAAAUCUUCAAGGUUUUACCUUGACGAAUUGUAGUUUAAAGAAGUGUUUUCUGUUGGAGUUUUGGUAAAAGUUCUUUGGAAAAGGACAUCAUAGAGGGUGAGAAUCCCGUAUUUGACCAUUAUCUCCAGCUUUGUGAUACACUUUCAAAGAGUCGGAUUGUUUGGGAAUGCAGUCCAAAAUGGGUGGUAAAUUUCAUCUAAAGCUAAAUACUGGCGAGAGACCGAUAGCGAACAAGUACCGUGAGGGAAAGAUGAAAAGAACUUUGAAAAGAGAGUUAAACAGUACGUGAAAUUGUCAAAAGGGAAGCGUUUGACACCAGUGUUGUUUUCCCGAAAAUCAAUUAAAAAAGGCCGGAUUUUGUGUUGUAUUGACUUUAUCAGCUUUCUGCACUCUUUUCUUGUCUUUUUUAAUGCACUUUUCGUUUGACAAGUCAACAUCAAUUUCUUUUGUUGUAAAAGGGUCAUUGGAAGGUGGCUUUCUUUCGGAGAAAGUGUUUAUAGCCUUUGGCCUCUGCAAUCGGAGAGAUUGAGGUCUGCAGCGUAGAUCCUUCGGGGUUAGAUACAUUUGUGCUAAGUUAUAGCCUUUCAUAGACAACUUGUUGACUAUGAUCAGUCAUGUAGCUUACUCGCUUAUGCUAUUU